CUUCAAAGCUGUCAAUAAGUGGUGUGUUCACAGUAAGGUAAUUAAUAACACUAUUUCCUUUUGGAAGACAUAUCAUUAGCCAUUAUUUCUCGAGAUACAACACUGAUGUCUUUAUUCAAGGAGGUAAUUGGAGGUUACCCACCAAUUCCCCACCAGUGACAUCAUCUUUGCAAACCGAAUCUCACAAUCUGUCACUUCUGAAUUCAUAAUUAGGAUAUUUUCCUAAUGGCAAGUGAAUGUUAUUGAAAGAAAUACCUACUUUGUCGUUACAGGAAUAAGCACAGCCGUCCUGAAGAGUGAGGGACUUGUAACACAAAUAAGGCCUGGGAGUUGUUAGACUGAACAUCUGGGGCCUUCAGAAUGACUGUGUUGGAGGAACCAGCAAAAGCCAGAAAGGCAAACCAUCAGCUCUGCCACAACCAGUGUGUCACCAACAAUUGAGGAUGGCAGGACCAUAGGCAGUUCUGGCAGUAUGGAACAAAAUCACGUCACCUCCAAGCAGGCACAGUCAGCAGCAGCAUCUGAACACCCCUGA
rnacentral:lncRNA from 1 species